CCUACGGGAGGCAGCAGUGAGGAAUAUUGGUCAAUGGGAGAGAUCCUGAACCAGCCAAGUCGCGUGAGGGAAGACUGCCCUAUGGGUUGUAAACCUCUUUUGUCGGAGAUCAAAACCCGGGACGUGUGCCGUUUUGCGUGUACCCGAAGAAAAAGCAUCGGCUAACUCCGUGCCAGCAGCCGCGGUAAUACGGAGGAUGCGAGCGUUAUCCGGAUUUAUUGGGUUUAAAGGGUGCGUAGGUGGUCCGUUAAGUCAGUUGUGAAAGUUUGCGGCUCAACCGUAAAAUUGCAGUUGAAACUGGCAGUCUUGAGUACAGUAGAGGUGAGCGGAAUUCGUGGUGUAGCGGUGAAAUGCUUAGAUAUCACGAAGAACUCCGAUUGCGAAGGCAGUUCACUGGACUGCAACUGACACUGAGGCUCGAAAGUGUGGGUAUCAAACAGGAUUAGAUACCCCAGUAGUC
rnacentral:rRNA from 1 species